ACAUGCCUACAUCAUUGUGUUAAUGCACUAGAUCCCAUUAUAACUCCGCAGUUAAGCACGCUCAGGCUAGAGUAGUAUUGGGAUGGGUGACCACCCGAGAAGUGCUAGUAUUUUACAUGCC
rnacentral:rRNA from 1 species